rnacentral:rRNA from 1 species
UACAGAGGGUGCGAGCGUUAGUCGGAAUUACUGGGCGUAAAGCGCACGUAGGCGGCUUGGUAUGUCGGUUGUGAAAUCCCCGGGCUCAACCUGGGAACUGCAUCCGAAACUGCCUUGCUAGAGUAUGGGAGAGGGAAGUGGAAUUUCCGGUGUAGCGGUGAAAUGCGUAGAUAUCGGAAGGAACAUCAGUGGCGAAGGCGACUUCCUGGACCAAUACUGACGCUCAGGUGCGAAAGCGUGGGGAGCAAACAGG